rnacentral:lncRNA from 1 species
GGAAGCAGUGAUUCUGCUCGGGGACAUGUUCAGCAUCACCGUGAGGGACCAGGUACCUCGUGUCUGCAUUUUGAGUUCUUGCAUCAUACCUGCUGUAGCAACAGAGCCCACUCCAAAUACUCAGCCCACAUAAUUUUCCCCAAACAGUCCUAAUUGCCAACCCUGUGUGGGAAAUUGAGGGCCUCUGGCAAACAAGCUUGAACACUCCUGACAUUUGGUGCAAGAUUUGCACAACAACAGCAACUGUCUCCACACAUGCAGGUAGACAAGCACAUUCAUUCUGAGACAACCCUCACACCAUCAGGGAUGUGCAGAUGGAGCUGACUGAUUUCAGUAGAAAGUUUUCCUCUUUAUCAAGAGGAAACAUGCAUAAGGGACAUCAUCAUAGGGAGAGAUGCUGUCACUUACAAGAUUGGAGUUAGUUUUCCCGUUUGCCCCUGCCCUUCCCAUGUUAACACAGUGUCUAAGUCAUCACAGCGGUGAGAGGUGGCUGUACCUUACUCUCUCUGGUUCUGUUACAAAAGGCCAUAGUUUGCAUUUUGGCUGUCUGACCAAAUCUCAGCCAGAAUUAAAUUGCUGUAUUUAGUUUUCAGCCCUUCAAAUGUGGGGGAGCAACACAGACAGCCAGGUCAGAAAGGGUUAAUUUUUGUUGAUGGUGAUGAUGGUUGGGUUUUUCUCUCCUUUCAAGGUGACAGAAGAUCUAAAGGGAGAGCAGAAAGAUGUUUCUUAACUGAUCCACUUAAGGUCACUGCAGAAAAGCAGGAGAAGUCCAGAAGGUCCUGGGGCAUUAGGCUCACACUAACACUCUGAAUCAUUCAUUUCUCAUCAUUUUUUUUCCUCUGCUGAGUCUUGUUUUAUCCUGUGAUCCAUUUAUCCAUUUUGGUAUUUUUAAGUCUUUCUGAUUGUAUUUUGAGGAACUUUUAGGCUGAGAAUAAAAUCUACUAUUGGGACAGACCUGUGCUCUGCAGAGGCAUCAGGUGACCCAGACAACGGGUGGCAGAAUAUCUGGGUUCCUCUAGAGACACCCCCAAUCCCUGGGUGAGCUUUGGAACCUAACAACUGAUUGUUAUCCUUAUCACCAUCCUCUGGGACAUGGGGAUGAUGCAGUCAGACAGAGACUUGCUACUUCUUGGCUCUGUUUCUCCCCAUGGCAACCAUUUAGCCUGCCUGGAAGUGGCCUGCUGCCUUAGGUAGGGGACAGAGACACUCAUAGACCAAGGAAGUGGUCAAACCGAUCACUAAUUUUUCUCCAUGCUACAUCAAAUUCCCUAACACACACAACUAGAAACUCAGCUCCUGGGUGUCUUAGUACCCACAAAGUCACUUUCCUGUUAUAAUUGCCUUCGGUAUCCAGAUUCUUCUACAAACCAACUCCACCCCAACUCUUUCCUCUUUCUUCCCUCCUCCCUAAAAUCUCAGCAUCCCAUCCCCACCUUGCACAACACAACACAGACCAGAUCAGCUGGUCACUAUAGAGAUUUGUAUAUAUUAAAACAAACCUACUUUUUGGAGAAUUUUUUGUAUAUUCUUUUUCUAUUUGUUUUCUACAGAUUGAGGAGAGAGCUGGCAAACUGUGAAUCUAAUUUUAUCUUGAUGCCAGCAGAUAUAUUUUGGCUUCCCGGUCUGAAUCUGUGUUACUAGGGACGGCAUAUCGCCCUCUGAUCAGUAUUGCAUCUCCAGUCUACAAAGUUACUUUGGCCCAAUCUUACAUUCUUUCUUCCACAAAUCCCCAAAUUUCUUUGUUAUUAUUUAUACAGAGAAAUAUUUAUAGUCCUGGAUAUCACAAGUUUAAUGUUAAUUUAACUUUUAAUAAUGUUACACAUUUAUAUCUAUUCUUCAAAAAUCAUAAAGACUCAGAGUAGGCUGAUAUAGUCUCUUUGGUAUCUGCAAUUUUUUCAGACAGAUAUUUUCUUAUGAUAUUUUCUAUACAACCACAUAGAUAGAAGUAUAGCUAAUUAGAGCACAUGUUUCUAUAGCAAUUUGGGGUAUCAACUGUUUUCUGAGCAUACAGACACAUUUGAGAAAUUUUGGAACUCAGUCCUUAAUGAUGCAAUUCGACCAAACUCAGAACAAGGAAUUGCUUAAGCCCCUUAGGUAGUUAGGGUAUAUGCAUCUGAACAGUUAAUCCUUCAACAUCAAGGAAUGGUGCUGACUGCUUUUUUCCAACACCAGUCCUUGUUUUCCCAACUGACCUUCCUAAUUUUUCUGUCUCAUAAAAUGAAUAAAGGCUGGUGCUAAUAGCAGGACUGCUUCUCUAUCAGAAUCUCCAUGCAUUACUAGAUGUUUAUGUGAAAAUUGGCCUAAUAAAAUGUAGAGUAGCAACAGCUGAGGAUGGCUGGUAAGGAAAGAAUUCAGGUCAGUUUUGGUGCAGUUAUGUCUUGCCAAGAAAAAAUGAUAGCAAAACCUCACAUUGUUAUAUGAAUUGAACAUAUAUUUUUAAGAAGAAAUUAAAGACAACAUAUUUUUAGUACCCAUUCAGAAUCCAUGCUGUAUCACUGGGGCGCUGGAGCUGGGAGUUAGAAUCAUACUGGGAUUAUUUAGAAUUAAACCCCAAUAGUUUAUCCUCAGGUAGGCAACAGACUGAUGUGACCUUCCCACAAAGUAAACCAGUAGUCACGGAAAACACAAGGUGUCUUUUCUCCACCAAACACACUCUCUGCAAUGGUGGGGAGACUGGUAUUUUACUGUGCUUGAAAGAAUAAAUAGCCUGUUAUAUAGAUGACAUAUUAGGAUGUAUUCAAGCCUGCUCCUCAUUAAGCGAACAGAUUAGAUGUGCCAUCAACUGGCUAAGAUUGUAUCUGUUUUCACAGCUAGCUAUCAGAGCAUGACUUUCUUGUGUGUAUACGUUGAUACUUGGUUCACGCAUGAAGACAGUGCCUAUGCACUUUGUGUAGCUAUAAUGUAGGUAUUUGUGUGUAAUUUCAGUGAAGCAGUGUAUUGAUGUAAUUUAAUUUAACUGUUUUUCUUGGCUGUUUAUCUAAAUGCAAUAGAUAUGACCAUGACCAUUUGGAAACCUUUCUUUGCAGUCUUAGGUAUCAACUAAGAGUUAUUUCUUAAUGUGAUCUGAGUGAAGAGCUUACCUAUGAAACCUCUGUACUGAUGACUGUUUGAAAAUCUCUAGUCUAGCACCUUUGUAAAUACAGCCCUGAGCUGGGAUGGGGUUGAAUGUGUUUCCUGUUACUCAGUGAAGUGUCAUCUUAUGCCUGCAUCAUUCCUAUUCAAUGUACGUGUGGAACUUGUGGUUACCAAGUCUGAGGGAGGUUCAGAAUGAAGAUGCUCAUCUCUCCUCCCUCACAGUGGACUGGGCUUAAAAAAUGUCCAUUUCCUCCUCAUACUCAAAUCAUGUCUUUGGGGAAGUGUCAACUUCUCAGGUUGUCAUAUCUUCACCAUGAUGACCAUGGCCUAAGAUUAUAAAGAACUUUGCUACCCUUAACUUUCUGAGUUAGAGUACAAGAAUGCAUUUACUGAUUAGCAACCAUGCAGGUGAGACACCCCCUCCUGAAAGCACAGUCUGGCAGCAAAUUGCACACUUGUGAGAGAAUGACAGAGUACUAGAAGCACACCGAGACCUGGAGCCAGCAACAGCCAGGGGCCAGCAAUGGUCAAGGACCAGCAAAGGCCAACGGCCAACCUUGGCACCGGAGGAGGACCAACCUCUGAUGCACUGAUCCUGAGUAUGUGACAGGAGGCUGGUCUCCUCUACCCAGUAAUGCUCUGUUUGCGUGAAUGAGAUUAACAAUGGCAAUUAGAUGUGAUCUCCCAAACCACAUUCUCACUAAUUACCAUACUGGGAGCUUUGUAGUUCCUAUAAGCCCUUUCUUCCCCACAAAGAAGAAACAACAUUGUGCUGGAGAGUACCCCUCCCUUUUCUCACAGAUCAUGGAGAUGUGAAGCAAGCACACUCAUUUUCAGGGGCUUCUCCAGAUGUGUGGAGUGAGGGGAUGUGGUGGCUGUAUCCUUCAAAUUAUGAAUGAAAACAAAGUACAGAAAGGAAAGGAGACUUUAGGCAGGAUUAUUUUUGAAUGAAAGAUAAGACUAAUGGUUUCUCUCCCAUUCCCAGUCCCCAUUGGUCUGAUGUCAUGUAGCAUAGUACAUCUAUAGCACAUGGUAUUUAAAGACUAAUGAAUGCAAAGAGACUAAUUUGGGGGCUGUUUCUUAUAUAUGGUACUAGGAAAUGCCUUGUUGGCAAAGCACACCUUGGGUAGUUGAGAUCUCCUAUGUUUGUAUUUAGCUUUUCUUGUGACUGUAACAUUUCAUGUGUAAAAUAACUGGAUAUUCUUCAUAUGAUGGAAAUAACCUGUGAAUUCAAUCUUUCAUCGAGUGUUUUAACUCCCGUGUACAUAUAUAUCUCAUCAAUAAAUGUGGAUUCCAAUUUCU